AUGGGUGCUACUAUUGAUCGUUCGCUGAAUGCUUCUCGGGGUCCCAAGGUCUUUAAAAUUAGUGGCCAGGUGUCUCAUCGCAUAGGUUCUCUCUUGCCAAAAGACCCUAACACUCCUAAAUUUGCCGAGCUUUAUAUAUAUGAUCCAGCGAAUGAGAUUGCCCAUAGGAUGCGUGCUUUAAAUCCGGAUGAUAAGCCUGUGGACCAAAUAGAUGAGGAUAUAGUGGUUGGCCUGAGAGAUAUGCUUAAUGAGUUCGAUCCAUUGGUACAAAAAUUUAGAGAGGCAAGUAAAAUCAUAGAAGAUAGUGGGGAUGAGCAUAUGGAAGAAAUUUCCAUCCGAAUCAUUGGUCCUUCCGAUGGUGAUGGCCCACAGUUCAGUUUGCCCACGUCUGCGGGGCUUGCUGCUUUGAUUGUGGGUGACCUUACUGUUGAAACCUCCGCACAUGAUAUAAUUAUUUCUAGCCGUUCGAAAGGCCUGCAACAAAUCGCUUCUCUUAAACCUGCCUUUAUGCCUUUGCAGUAUCCCUUGCUUUUUUCGCGUGGGGAAAUGGGGUUUCAGAUAGAUGUUCCUUAUAUGUCUGUUCAGCUAGCUGAUGAUAUCGAUGUGCCUGGUAGUACUGGGAAUGUUGACUAUCAUUAUGUAUGCCAUUAUAGAGGUGACCAGCCAAACCCAUUCUUGUGUUAUGGUCUUUUGUCGUCCCAGGCUGUUGUUGAUGCACGAGCUUGCAUUGACGAAAACAGACUAUGGUACAUACUGAGAAACCAAGAUAAACUUAGAUCUAAGAAUAUGCAGGGCAUCACCGAUGCCGUUGGUGGUGGUUGUGUUGAUGGUGCGACUCUAGGUAAAAUGAUUAUCCUGCCUUCGAGCCACACCGCUGGUCGUCGUUACUUUCAAGAGAACUUUCAGGAUGGCCUUGCCAUAUGCCGGGUGCACGGUGCACCUGACAUAUUCACCACUUUCACCUGCAACCCCAAGUGGCCAGAAAUUACACAGACGCUAGAACCGGGACAAAAACCACAUGACAGGGCAGAUAUUGUUGUCAGGGUUUACCACAUGAAGCUGGUUUAG
rnacentral:rRNA from 1 species